GUGCAGUUGCGGCGUGCUAUACAUGCAAGUCGAGCGGACCUUGUGUUUCUUUCGGGAGACGCCAGGUUAGCGGCGGACGGGUGAGUAACACGUAGGCAACCUGCCUGUAAGACCGGGAUAACUUGCGGAAACGUGAGCUAAUACCGGAUAGCUGGUUUCUUCGCAUGAAGAAGUCAUGAAAGACGGGGCAACCUGUCACUUACAGAUGGGCCUGCGGCGCAUUAGCUAGUUGGUAGGGUAACGGCUUACCAAGGCGACGAUGCGUAGCCGACCUGAGAGGGUGAACGGCCACACUGGGACUGAGACACGGCCCAGACUCCUACGGGAGGCAGCAGUAGGGAAUCUUCCGCAAUGGACGAAAGUCUGACGGAGCAACGCCGCGUGAGUGAUGAAGGUUUUCGGAUCGUAAAGCUCUGUUGCCAAGGAAGAACGGCCAGGGGAGUAACUGCCCCUGGAGUGACGGUACUUGAGAAGAAAGCCCCGGCUAACUACGUGCCAGCAGCCGCGGUAAUACGUAGGGGGCAAGCGUUGUCCGGAAUUAUUGGGCGUAAAGCGCGCGCAGGCGGUCUUUUAAGUCUGGUGUUUAAGCCCGGGGCUCAACCCCGGUUCGCACUGGAAACUGGGAGACUUGAGUGUAGGAGAGGAAGUGGAAUUCCACGUGUAGCGGUGAAUGCGUAGAGAUGUGGAGGAACACCAGUGGCGAAGGCGACUUUCUGGCCUAUAACUGACGCUGAGGCGCGAAAGCGUGGGGAGCAAACAGGAUUAGAUACCCUGGUAGUCCACGCCGUAAACGAUGAAUGCUAGUGUUAGGGGUUUCGAUACCCUUGGUGCCGAAGUUAACACAGUAAGCAUUCCGCCUGGGGAGUACGGUCGCAAGACUGAAACUCAAGGAAUUGACGGGGACCCGCACAGCAGUGAGUAUGUGGUUUAAUUCGAAGCACGCGAGACUUACCAGCCUUGACAUCCCUCUGACGUUUAGAGACAGACUUUUCUUCGGGACGAGAGACAGUGUGCAUGUGUCGUCAGCUCUGUCUGAGAUGUGGGUAAGUCCGCACGAGCGCCACCCUGAUCUAGUUGCAGCACGCAAGUUGGCACUCUAGAUGACUGUCGGUGACAACGAGAAAAUUGAUGACCUCAAUCAUCAUGGCCUUAUGCCCUGGCUUAUCACGUACCUUACAUGGUGCGGUGCACGAGCAAGAAGCAUCCGGACAUUCUCACCGAAUCUAUCUCGAUGAGAUAGGUGUACAAUCAUG
rnacentral:rRNA from 1 species